UUCACAGACAUACGCCAGAUAGACAAGUGCUAUUAGUUAUAGCGCUUUAGGAACUUACUAGUACCACUUUUUAAAGCUGAAAGCGGUCGCUUUUCGUCCAAAAUUGCCGUAUUUGAGUUUGUUGACCAAAUAAUUUACAAAAAUAAUAUAUUUGUCUUCAAAAACCGACGAAGUCCUCAGAGGCUACACCAACUGCCUGAAGCCCACGAUAUCUGAGAUGGCACACUUUCGACGCCCCUGGAAACUUAUAUUACGAGUAUGAUUUUACUGAUAGUACAUACAGGGUGGCCUAUCAGAAACGAAACAGGCCAUUUUGGAAAUUUAGAAUUGUAUGUUCAAAAAGUAUGUCCGUCUCAAACGGUUUACAUCGAAAUUAGAAUCGAGAAUCUGGUACAUUGUUUGAACAUUGAAAGUCAUUUGACUCUCGUUAUAAUGUUAUCAAUAUUAAUAUGAAAAUAGAUUUAAACAUAUAUACAAACGUA